AAGCUUUGACAGCUAAUUCUAUCAAAAUUGGACCGAUACAGAGAAGAUUAGCAUGGCCUCUGCUCAAGGAUGACACCCAAAUUUGGGAAGCGUUCCAUAUUUUU